UUCGAGCGUCACUGAUAAGUCUUUUGUAGACGAAACGCGCGUCUGGCGUAUAUAUAAAAUUUAGUCCUGGUAUCUAUGAUGAGUUUAUUUACAACCACUGGGUCGAUGCCACUGCUGGUUGAGAUUUAUUUCCCCGAGGGUAUCACAAGCCCAGUAAUCAGCACUGGUUGUGCUGACAUGAAUUAUCAUUGAUAUUGUUAUAUUUAUAAAUUAACUGUUUACAAAAUUUUGAAUUUUUUGAAAUAAUAAGGCUUUUCUACCUCAGGCAUAGAU
rnacentral:lncRNA from 1 species